rnacentral:rRNA from 1 species
UACAGAGGUCCCAAGCGUUGUUCGGAUUCACUGGGCGUAAAGGGUGCGUAGGCGGUCGGGUAAGUCUGAUGUGAAAUCUCACAGCUUAACUGUGAAACUGCAUUGGAUACUAUUCGGCUUGAGAGUUGGAGGGGGGACUGGAAUUCUUGGUGUAGCAGUGAAAUGCGUAGAUAUCAAGAGGAACACCAGUGGCGAAGGCGAGUCCCCGGACAACUUCUGACGCUGAGGAGCGAAAGCGUGGGGAGCGAACAGG